rnacentral:piRNA from 2 species
UACAGGAUUUUAUAUGGAGUAAGCU